CUUCUUAACAUUACUAGGAGACACAAUCCCAUGCCAAACUCUCGGACCCCCCAGCUCUUACUAUAUUAAUGCCCCCCACUUCUGCAAUUCUCCCCAAGUCUUAGUUACCGGAAUUUUCUGUAGAUGUAUCCAUGGAGACUGGCCCUACAAAUCUGCAUUUUGAUUGGCUGUAGUUUUCUGUAGUGGUCUCCAUUGGUUGCAAAGAGAAGUUUCCUUGCUGAGGGGUCAGGACCACACUUGCCUGAGGCUAUAAGUACAAAUGCUUAUAGAUUGUCAGAGUUUAAGCUGGUUUGACAAGUUAUCUUCCAAUAGCCAUGCCUUCGCUAAGUCUGAGUAGUUAGCUAAGUUUCCAGUACUAGGCACGAUCUUCUUCUUACUGAGUCUUAACUCCAUUAGGAAUCUUUGGUGACUGCCAAGGUGUGUGUGUCACUACUGCACCCUUAGCGUUAUCAUGCUAUGGUGGUCACCGUGGUUCAUAGGCAUCACAGCUUGGUAGAUUGGUUGUCUCCACCCUUUAGAAGCUUCCAUUGUGCCUUCUGGCCUCAUAGAAGUUAGUGCCCUGGGAGGGGCAUUUAGGUUCCAGCUCAGGGACCUCUGAGCCCUGCUUCUGAAGUGCACAGUGCCUUCAGCCAUGAAGACUUACCUUCCACCAGUGAGGCAACCGAGAGCAACUGCAGUAGACUGUACGUCUGGGGGGUUUCUUGGGCAGUCCUAGCCAGCCAUUCAAGAGAGGGCCUCUCAUGUCUAGUAUUGGGCUUUUGUUAUGUGUUCUUCGACUCUUGGAGGGAGCUCCAUCAACCUUAGUCUCCUCCUGCCACCUUACAAGAAAGCAUCUGUUGUCAUCCUGAGGAAGUUUAAGAACAGUUUGUGCUCAUACACUGUAGAAUUUACAUCAGCAGCUUGGAAUAAAACCUCAGAGAAAGCAGUUGCACAUUUUUUAUGGAAAACAGUACCAUCAACAUUCCUGAUAGACUACUACGUGCUUUAAACACUAAUCUUGAUAGUUUAGUUAAAAGAGGAGUUUGGCAACUCUAUCCUGUCUGAAACAUGUAAAGGAUCAGGACCAGAAGGGAAGCUCUGUCAGUAAUGCCCCUGCUUCACAAUCCUGAGGACCUGAGUUCAAUCCCUCAAAGCCACGUUUAUUAAAUCAUGUGUGGUUGUGCACACUUGUAACCCCAGUCCUGGGGAGGUAGAUCGUGCAGCCAGCCUAACCUGCAUGGUGAGCCCCAGGUCACUAGGAGACUCUGUGUCAAAACAAUAACAACAAAAACCAAGGUGGACAGUAUCUAAAGAAAGACAUGCAAGGUUCAUAUGUAAGGUUGCUCUCUGGCAUCCAUGUGUGUAUGCACCUGCACAUACAAGUGUACCUGCAUGUGAAAGAACAGCACAUGCUCGAAUGCACACACACAUGUACUUAUACAUGCAGUAGUGGGCACAUGCAAGCAUGCAAACACGUGUGUAUUUACACAUGCAAUGGUAGGGAGGAAGAAGUUGUACAAUAGUGAGUUCAUUUUCACUUAUUUUUCUACUCUGCAUACUCAUGAGGGCGAAAAACGUGAUUUAAAACAUGCUAUAUGCCCAGAUACGAUCUUUAAAGAGCUCUCUCUCUCUGGAAACAUGGAAUAAAAAAUUAUAGGUGAAGAAAUCAUUUAGUUGGCAAUGUUGAUUUACAACUUACAGUCUAUAGCAGUGCAGAUUAAAUAAAAUGUGCAGACAAUACCAGAUUAGAGCGCAGACUUGCAAAUUAACACCAGCCGCAUCUGUAAGGCCUGUGUUCCUCUGUAGCUCAGAGCCAAUCCACACAAGAACAAAAAUGGCUUCUAUUUGAUCCUAAGCCUGCACCUGCCUGGCUGAGGUCCUCCUGGUUUAAUUUAUUGAGAGAAACGCAUGACACACAUUUCCACAGUAAACACAUUAGAACAGAAGCAUGCCCUGGUGGAGCCUUCACACAUGCAGUAGCCCUGACUGACAGUAGAAAGACGUUGUUGUAGAGGACAUUCAAAAGGAAACCAAAGUCUGAACACUGCUUAUGUUCAAAACGAGUGUUGGCUGCUACCUUAAGGCAGGCCAUAUGGGCAAGAGUGCUCAAACAAGAGCUUUCUCGAAGUAAUUAAUUACGUUUUCUGAAGUUGCUUUUCUCUGCAACUUUAACCGGCCACAGGUCUCCGAAGCUUGCUUAGCUGGCUUUGUUAGAUGCUCUGCUCUGGACUUUUGCUUAUUUCUAUGCGGGAAAGAGAAGUAUCCUAAGCUCACCUCCAACCAAGAGCAGCUAGGAAACAGUUUAGCUCCCAAUUCGCGCACAUCGCAUAGCUCAAAGAUGUCAUCACCAAGGAGAAGACAGGGAAACCAAGACACACAGUCCCCUGGGGGAUGGUGGAGCAGUUUCAGGACCAGGGACCAGAAGGGAAAACCACUCACUAGCUCUAUGUCUUCACCGAGUUGAGAAAAUUGACCCUCGAAUUCAAGGAUGCUCUAGUGGCUGGCAGUUUCGUGGAAGAUUCCAGAAGGAAACUACACGUAGAUAAACAGCUCGAGAAAUCAGUAAAACAGUCCUCUGAAGUUCUGAUAACCACAUGGUCGUGCAGGCAGAUAGAGAAGCUUCUUAUGAUGACCAAGGCACCAGAUAAGGAGCUGCAGGCUGAAAAACUGCUCAGAUGUUCAAACUCCACAAGGCAUGAUGGGCAAUAAUGACCACCUAUGACAUAGGAUUAUCCUUAGAGGAAAUACAUCCUCUAUGCAUGCCAGCAAAGCCUAAGAGAGAUAGGCUUUUCUCAGCAAGCAACCCUGUCUGCUCAAACAGAGCCAGGCACUGUAAGAGUCAGGCCAUAGCCAAACUGGACUCAGCCGUGUGGCAUUUACAAUGUCCAGUAAUAGAUUUACACAGUUCCUAGUACGGUCUAAGAAGCUGGAAAGCCAGAAAUACAUGGAGAGAUAGGGAAGGAAGCACCAACAAGAAGACGGGUGUUUGUAGAAAGUGCAGACCACACUCAGAUACUCAAAGGGAAGCACAGACAGAAGGACUGAAGAGGUGGACUUAGAACCAGAGGAGACCUCUAGGCAUGAAAAUACUAACACUUGAUGUAAAACAUCAUGGCAUCAGCACACUAUAAUAGGUGUCCUCUGAGGACAGAUGAUGCCGAUGAAGUAUGUCCGUAAAAUUAAGAUAAGCCAAUGCCUUCCGUGACCUAUGAAACAGUAAGCAGAUGUUUAACAUGCAUGGAGUUAAAGAAAACGAGAGAGACAAGUGUCCAAAUUUUGUUCCAACUGUGAUACAGAUUUACAAAACCCCAAUAUCAGGAUGUUGAACACACACGGGGAAACAAAGGAAACUGAAAGGGAAAUAAUAAAUUAAUUACGUCAGAAGGAAAGAGAUCAGCAAUAGUGGGCAGAGAAGAAUCCUAUAACGUACUUGGGGCUUUACAUAACAGCUUAAGCAGAGAGAUGAAUAAAAUUACACAAGGUUUAUGACACAGAGGACGUAAAAAAUGUGACUAAAGGCACAGGAUGAACUUGAGAAAAUCGUGAGCGCUUUCACUAUCUGUCAUGUGAUAUACAAUCACUCAAAGAGAAGACUGACAACUCGAAGGUGCACACUCGGGAGCGAAACCUUAAUUAAUUAAAAUGUACUGACAAUGGCUAAUAGUUUUGACAGAAUGUGGUACGAAAAACGCUCAACCGAUCACGGAAAAGGGAAGGGCAGACGAGACCAAAAUAAAGCAGCACAGAGGAAGCUCAACCGUGUCAGUCAAAGACAAUAUGAACACUCUAAGCUCGGAGUCCACCCAAAUGAAAUAAAAAGGCAACACCCAACUCCACGCCAUCUAUGAGAAAUCAGCCUUAACUGUAAGAGAGCGGAAAAGAUGAAAGGUCUUCCUUCCACAAAAGCAAGAGCAGCAGCCACAAGGAAGCUGGGCUGGAAAUAGAAGCAGAGUGGACCAGCGAGAAAUGUAAGAGACUCUGCAUAGUGGAAACAGAGAGUUCACCCACUGUAGACUCCACACGUACGGGUCCGCAGUAACGGAACUGCAAAACUGCAAAAUGCACAGAGUAAGUGUCUGCAAGACUAUGCAAAAACAGACAAUUCCAGCUGAAAACUUUCCAUUCUGUUCUUUCGGUAGUAAACCAGUAUAGGCUCACAUAUAGAUGGAUAUCAACGAAAACGUGGAGACUUUCAACAACACUGCCAGCCAGUUGGACCUAAGUAGCACACAUGGACCAUGAGAACAGAAUCUUCUCACACGGUGCCCUUGAGAUGGUCUGCAAUUGCGAUGGGCCGGAAGACGACUCCCAGUGAUUUUUCUUUUUGAAACAAGGUAUGUAGCUCCUGCUACACAGCUUAGAGAUAACUUCCGCUCCCCAUCCUCAGCCUCCAUAGCGCUGGUAUGACAGGUAUGCAUCGUGAUGCACAGUUUAUGCGGCGCCCAGAACUGCACCUAGGACGUCCUAUAUGCUAGGCAAGCACCCUACCUACUGAGCCAUAUCUACUUCCAGACCCCACAUCGAUAAAUCUAAAUUGUUCAGAUCAUAAAGAGUUUAAUUAUAACCACAAGAAAGUAAGCAAAAAAAAAUCUCAACUAGUAGGAUACCUUGGAAAUCACGAUAAGUCUCUUUUAAGUGCCCCACACAUCAGAGAAGGAAUUAUGAUAGAAAAAUUAAAAUAUUUUUACUGGAGAUAAGAUACAAUGUUUCGGCAGUUUUGUGAUACAGAAAAGCAAUAGGUAGUGGGACUUUUGUAGCUUCAAGUUUUUAUCUACCUAUUAAUGAAUCCCCUGAGCUCUCAUCUUAAGCUGGAAAAAGAAGCACAAGUACAAGUGGAGAGGAGAUCUAUAAUCUGAACCCUCAGGGAGCCGAGGUGCCAGAAGUCUCAGACCCUAGGAGGUUGGUGCCACUCCCAGCUCUUGCCAGAAGGUCGCUGUGCAGUGGUCAGCUAGUGCAGAGACAAGAGCUGAAUAUAAACAGCUGGAUGCUAAGAUGUGAACCAGCCAUUUGUAUUAACCUCCAUCCAAGGCUCAGGGCACUUUACAGAACAGCGGAUGUAAAGAAGUAAGAACUGGCCAAUGAGGAGGGGAAAUGUGACUGCACCUUCCGGACAAGGCGUGGCUGUUGUACCCAUCAACCGUUACCUACGUAAGACUGGCUCAAACUGAAGGAACGGCCACCCAGACGCUGCCCCACCUAGGGAUCCAUCCUAUCUGCGGACACCAAACCCGGACACUAUUGCUGAUGUGAAGAAGUGUUUGCUGACAGGAAGGAACCUGGUAUAGCUGUCCCCUGAGAGGCUCUGCCAGCACCUGACUAAAACAGGCCAAGAGGAACACGUACUGGAAAGAGGUGCGACUUCUAUCCACAGACAACUUUAAAAGCUGCACAGAAAAUCCCAGAUAAUCCAAAAGUAAUAAGGCAGAAAUGUGGAAAAGAAGCAGGUAGAUCUUUGUGAGUUCCCAGCCAGUCUGAUCUACGUAGUGAGUUCAAAGCCAGCUGGAGCUGUGCUGUGAAAUGCUGCUUCAACAAGCCAAGCAAAUCGAACAAAUCAGAGCAAAACAAAAGACCCUGACUGAAGAUCGUGUUGCAGGAACCUGAAGUCAGAGAAGAAGUUGGAUAGCAACUUGUAAAUGUGACAGACGGCAGGAGGAACAGGAUGGGCUGCCGACCACGGGA